rnacentral:sRNA from 1 species
CCCUUAACUGCGUAGUUUUGAUGGGAUUCGAUGCAUUAGUGCUGGUAUGAUCGCAUCUGUUACUACAUGCAAUGUAAUCGUAUCUAUUCUUUUUUAAAGACUUUAUGAUCCAUUUGCCGUGGGUCCCACCAGCUAUGUAGGAAUACCCUAUCUUCUUUAUAAGAGCUUUGAUAUAUGCAAAAUAGUGGAAAACCAUGUCCGAACAUAUAAUUUUUCCCCUGUAAUAUAGCAAAGAUCAAGAAAAAGCCAAAAAAAGUAUAUUUAGGUCAAAAUUUGGAGUAGAAAAAAAAACAAUAGAAGAAUUCCAUUUUCCUUCCUCAGUCAUCGGAGAGCUCUCUUUCGGCUUUCCGAAAAGGUAUCAAAUGCCAAGUUUGGCCUCACGGUCUAAAAGUUAUAGAGUCAUACAUUUUUAACAAUACAAAGUAGAGAAAACCGGAAAAAAGAGGGAUGCAACAUGAGGACUUUCCGGGAGGUAAUCCAUCCUAGUACAACUCUUGCCCAAGCACCCUUAACUGCGGAGUUCUGAUGGAAUCCGGUGCAUUAGUGCUGGUAUGAUCGCAUGUGUUACUACAUG